UUUGCGGAGAGUUUGAUCCUGGCUCAGGAUGAACGCUGGCGGCGUGCUUAAUACAUGCAAGUCGAACGGAGACUGUGUAGCAAUACUUGGUCUUAGUGGCGAACGGGUGCGUAACGCGUUGGUGACCUGCCCCGAAGAGGGGGAUAACAGUUCGAAAGGACUGCUAAUACCCCAUGUGGUCAUGGAGGUUAGAGACUCGAUGACUAAAGCAGCAAUGCACUUCGGGAGGGGCCUGCGUCCCAUCAGCUAGUUGGUAGGGUAACGGCCUACCAAGGCUUCGACGGGUAGGGGACCUGAGAGGGUGGUCCCCCACAUUGGCACUGAAACACGGGCCAAACACCUACGGGUGGCAGCAGUAGGGAAUAUUGGGCAAUGGGCGAAAGCCUGACCCAGCAACGCCGCGUGUGCGAUGAAGGCCUUCGGGUCGUAAAGCACUUUUCUGGGAGAUGAGAAAGGACAGUAUCCCAGGAAU
rnacentral:rRNA from 1 species